CGCCGAUCGGUGAAACGUAUCGGUUUUCAGGAUCCAACCCCGUGAACGCGCGGAUUUCGACCGUGUCGAAACCAGUGGAUUACGUAAUCGUCCGAUUAGAAGAUGAAACGCGUACCGUCACGGCGACAGGAUCGUCCGGUCUUCGUCGUUGAGAAGUGGCCAAUUUUCGUCGAUCGAACGAUCGAUCGGCUCGAACCAACAGAACAACGAUUUUCUCGGAUGAUUUUUUCGUUCGAACCGGGCGAUGCUGUUCCGUGCUUCCUUACUUCCCAUAGUGAAUGUGACGUAUGGAAUGUAAAGAAGUAUGGAGCUGCGCCCAGGUGUAUCAUCGAACCGGAAACACGCCGUGGGACCGGUGUUCUCCGCGAGACAUGCUCAACAGCUGAUCAAACAGUUGACCACAUGUUUCUGCAGGCUGAAGACAGCAAGAUUUUGUUACGCUCGAUGAAAUCAUGGAAAACGACCGGUGUAUUCUGAUACGCUUUAGAAACGAUUUUUACCGACGAUUCUUGUUUCCAUAGAAAAUCAACGGGGAGCAGUCGCAAGUCUCGAGAGUGCGCGAUGCAACGUUACGCAAAGUUUCCACGUUUGGCGCGGUCAUCGUAAUGGAAAAAGAUAUUAAACAGCUAUAGCCCGGUACUGGUAUCUAGACGCCAGAAAUAGAGGCAGUUCCACGUAUACCGUAACGUGACUCGAGCAUCCUUCCACGUCCAUGUGGCCUCUCCCGUGUUUUCUAUUUACGGUUCCGUCGUGACUACCAUGUGGUCGCCAGCUUUAUUUAAAUCGGCAAAAUAUUUCAAGGCGUUCCCAGGGCCCGUUUGUCUCCCCCGCCGAGUCACGAUUCAUAAACUAGAGAUUUUCUUCUUGCAGAUGACGACGAUGCACCGUUCAACCAGUAAAAACCGGGGAAAAAGUGCUCUGGUGUUCAGCUAAUCCUUUUUUUGUCUCGAUUCUGUGCAUCGUGUACCGACAGUAAACACCACUUAUAUCAUACAGAGAAGAAUGCACGACCAAGGAGGAUGGAAGGGAUGAAAACGGUAGAAAGGGAAGGGAGAGCCUGGAAGGAGAUGUUCGUCCGGUGGUGAAGUCAAAAAUAGGACGCAUGGUCACCAGCAUAUUUCCAUAAAUGAGUUCUCCGGUUACAGAGUCUAUUUCCGUUCUGGGCCGGCGACCGGAGUUGCAGCCAAUUACGAUCGGUUCCAGGACGAUUUACGAAUUCUGCGACAGAUCUAGGGAUCUAUUGUGCGCAGUAAUCCACGAUGUGAAACAGGAGAGUAAAACGCGCGUUCUUCCAUUCUUGCGGAGUAUAAUGAUUGCAAAGAUUGUGAUUACGAAAGAGGGGGUUAGAGAACAUGACGUCAGUGAGCUUCUGUGACGUAAUCAGACUUCGAUGUAUAUGUACUUAGGGAUUUGUAUUAAGUCAUGAGUAAUGCGAUUUUCCUGAGAGUAGGCUUUUAAACGACGAAGCUAGCUAUGAUCCUUUUGAUCGUGAGUUUUGUAAAAAGGAGAUAGAAAAGUGAUAAACAAUUUUAGCAGAUGGAUGGCAAUGCGUCAUUAAUUAUUAUUGAUAGAUAGUCGUUUAUACACGCAUUGAAAAAAUUCCAUUAUUUAUUCUUAGCUAAUAUAUAUUUUCGUUAAGUAUAUGUAAUUAAUAAUUGAUACGUUUAAUAUUUGUCUCGAAGAAUUAUGUUGCUGUAUCGAACAAUAUGGAUAUUUUAGACGCCUUUAAUUGUUAAUGCGAUAGGUUUGUAUUUAGAAAUGUUUUGUAUUUUAAGAGAUUAGCAAAUCAUCAAGUGUUUAUAUCUUUGCGAACAACAGUGUUAUUAUAAUGAUAAUAAGUAUCUAUAUUUUGUAAACGAAUAGAAAAACGCUUAAUUUUAAAAUAGUACACGGAUAUUUGUUAACUUUUUAAUAAUUAGAUUAUAGAGGCGCAUUUAAGGAUUUAACUGCUUUUCUCGCCUUUAUGUUUCUUGCGCAUUUUUCAAAUUUUUAAGUAACAGCUACAAAAGAUAUAUUAGUAGUAUUAGACGGCGAAUAUAUCUGCAAAGGCGAUUGUGCUUACCACAACUGUGAGAUUAUUUCUAUCUAUGUGAUGAGAUUAAGAAUUUUAUUUAUUUUAAGUGUAUUUACCGACGAUAAACCGGCAGUAAACCGUCUUCUUGCAUUAAUAUCGGAAGUUCUGUUAGUUUAGAAGAACCUUCUUCGUUCGAUAUAAACUAAGUCUACACUGACACGCAAUUGUCCGCAUUAACAUUUCUGAUGAAAGUGUCUGCAAGCAAAUGUGUCUGCCAGUGUGUGUAGUCUUGUCUUUGUGAUUCAAAAAUGGAAGAAUUUGAACAUAAAGAGUUUAUCGAACAACAAAUUAGCUUUACUCGUUUUGUCAACUUGUAACUUUCGCUGUUCAUAACGAUCAUGUUUAUCAUUUUUGUAAUAACGAAAGUGUUAUAUGAUUAUCAUAGACCGAUGGCGUCUCAUAAUAUAUAAUUUGACUUUUCUGCGCAAAGUUCGACUUUACGUUUUAAGAUGUUGAAGCUCAGAUGUCUCAGAUAUCUCUGUCUUACUAUACUCCGCUAUAUCUGCCAAUCAUCCGUGAACAUCACAACGCGAGCCUCUGUAACGAUCGCUAGUCAAUUUUGUCAGAUGGUUGUACACGUCUCGUCAACAACGCGACCAAACUAAUGCCAGGAACACCGAAAAUGGGACGAUAGACGAGGAAUAAAAGUGCGCUAAACGCUCGAUUUACGAGGUUGAGACAGCACCGCUGGUAUGAAUGUUCACCCUAAUAAAUAACUGACAGUCUACAGAGCAGAAACCAUGGGGUUGGAGGUGGAUGUGAUCCCAGCUAUGCGUGGAAGCCUCGACUAUUCAGGAUGCAGGCACGGCCGGAUUUGCAUUGCCGUCAUUGUCGCGAUUUGAAUCGGUCGCUCGCUUGCUCGCUUGUUCGCUCGCGCAAGCGCCUAGAUCCUGUCGCGGCUUGCUUCCAUUGUGGCAAAUAAUUCUGCGGUGCCAUGGGAUUAACGAUUGCCUUGAAUGGGAAACGGACUGUAGCGGCCAAGGAACUGUGCUUGGGCUUUCGGCUAUUCUAUCGCCGCGUAAAAUAGCACGGGCUUUGCGGAAAGAGGUGUUCGACGAAUCUUCGUAAUUCGAAUCGAAAUAUCGAAAUUUCUGUUGAAGAUACAUCGUCGUUCGUAAAUGUGUACACACUUUGCUCGAUUUAUAUUAACGAUACACGAAUAUCGAUGAGGUAUAUAAAUUAAUGGCAAGCAAAUGGUCAGAAGCAAUUCUUACUGUUUCCUUGUGGAGUCAAAUCAGAUAGGAUGCACCGUAUGAAAUAUUAAUUUUUUAUUUCGUAUCUUAUUAUUAAAUACCAUUGCUAGAAUUAUUCUAUCAAUCUAAAAGAAAGUUCUCUACUUUAUUUAUACGUUGAUGGGUGACAAACGAGUUGACGAUAAUGAGCUGCUUGAAUGACAAAACUACACCAUAAUGUUUGACGUUUUGUAACCGCUACAAACCUCGUCGAAAAGUUUACGAUGGAUUAAUCAUAAAGCGAGAUUAAAAUGAAAAAAUCGA